GAGUUUGAUCCUGGCUCAGGAUGAACGCUGGCGGCGUGCCUAAUGCAUGCAAGUCGAGCGACGCAUAUCCAGUUCGUAAGAACAGGGUAUGACGGAGCGGCGAACGGGUGAGUAACACGUGAGCAACCUGCCCCACAGACCGGGAUAGCCCAGGGAAACCUGGAUUAAUACCGGAUGCCCUCGGAAGAUCGCAUGAUCAUCCGAGGAAAUGCCUUUGUGCUGUGGGAUGGGCUCGCGGCCUAUCAGCUAGUUGGUGGGGUAACGGCCUACCAAGGCAUCGACGGGUAGCUGGUCUGAGAGGACGACCAGCCACACUGGGACUGAGACACGGCCCAGACUCCUACGGGAGGCAGCAGCAGGGAAUCUUGCGCAAUGGGCGAAAGCCUGACGCAGCAACGCCGCGUGGGGGAUGAAGGCCUUCGGGUUGUAAACCCCUUUCAGGAGGGAAGAAAUUGACGGUACCUCCAGAAGAAGCACCGGCCAACUACGUGCCAGCAGCCGCGGUAAUACGUAGG
rnacentral:rRNA from 1 species